UAUUGGUCAAUGGACGCGAGUCUGAACCAGCCAAGUAGCGUGAAGGAUGACUGCCCUAUGGGUUGUAAACUUCUUUUAUAUGGGAAUAAAGUGCAGUAUGUAUACUGAUUUGCCUGUACCUUAUGAAUAAGGAUCGGCUAACUCAGUGCUAGCAGCCGCGGUAAUACGGAGGAUCCGAGCGUUAUCCGGAUUUAUUGGGUUUAAAGGGAGCGUAGGUGGAUUGUUAAGUCAGUUGUGAAAGUUUGCGGCUCAACCGUAAAAUUGCAGUUGAAACUGGCAGUCUUGAGUACAGUAGAGGUGGGCGGAAUUCGUGGUGUAGCGGUGAAAUGCUUAGAUAUCACGAAGAACUCCGAUUGCGAAGGCAGCUCACUGGACUGUUGACUGACACUGAGGCUCGAAAGUGUGGGUAUCAAAC
rnacentral:rRNA from 1 species